UGGGGAAUAUUGCGCAAUGGACGAAAGUCUGACGCAGCAACGCCGCAUGAGUGAGGAAGGCCUUAGGGUUGUAAAGCUCUGUCAGAUGGGAAGAACGGUCUCGUGUCCAAUAGGCACGAGAAUUGACGGUACCAUCAAAGGAAGCACCGGCUAACUUCGUGCCAGCAGCCGCGGUAAUACGAAGGGUGCAAGCGUUACUCGGAUUUACUGGGCGUAAAGUGCACGCAGGCGGAUUGGUAAGUCAGAUGUGAAAUCUUCGGGCUCAACCCGGAAACUGCGUCUGAAACUGCUGAUCUAGAGUUUCGAAGAGGGAAGUGGAAUUUCGCAUGUAGGGGUAAAAUCCGUAGAGAUGCGAAGGAACACCAGAGGCGAAGGCGACUUCCUAGACGAAAACUGACGCUGAGGUGCGAAAGCGUGGGGAGCAAACAGG
rnacentral:rRNA from 1 species